UCGCUCUUUAUUGCUUAUUAUUAUUGUCGUUACUUACCCUUUUCUUUUGGGGCCUAGUGGUGCAUUGAGCUGAGGUCAGUAAUUGCCCACUGGGAACUAUAAAUUAUAGUUCUCACGCUCUUUGUUUUAUGUUUUCUUUCAGAGCCUUCCACGCCGGGAGAGGCUAGGGACCGAGGGAAGGGCGUGGCUUCGAGCUAGCUCUUCAGCGAGUGACGAGUCGCUAGGUGGUCUACCUCUCGAUGUUUUUAUUUUGGAGAGGUUGAGAGCUGUACCAGUGUACUAGAGACCACCCCUUUUGUGUACCUUUUUGGACAGAUAUUGUAUAUCUUUGUGUUUCACUCUUUUUGCUUUAGUGUACCUCUUUUACCUUGUUAUAGACUAUAGAUCUAUCUGUGCUCUGAUAUCUCUAGAUGU
rnacentral:lncRNA from 1 species